CAUUGGUUUCCUUACCUAUGGAGUGAGGGCUAUUAUGGUGGAAAAGGCCAAGUAGAAGCCACUAGAACUAUCUGUACUUAGGAAAAUAGUAAACCAAAAGCAAUGCUCAAUUCCUAUAGGGACUGAAGAGAUUAGUGCCACCAUAAGUACUUGAAGGAAGGCGGGGUGGUGAUUCCUACCAUAUGUCCAUUCAACUCGCCUAUUUAGCCUGGGCAGAAGACAGAUGGAUUAUCACAAACUUAACUAGGUGGUGACUCCAAUUGCAGCUACAGUACCAGAUGUAUUGCUUGAGCAAAUUAACACAACUCCUGGUUCCUGGUAUGCAGCUACCUGGAAUCUUGAUUGCCUUUUCUUUCCACAUCACAUUGGUCCAUUACAUUGACGACAUUAUGCUCACUGGACCUAAUGAGUGAGACAUAGCAACUACUCCAGACCUAUUGCUUUU
rnacentral:lncRNA from 1 species